rnacentral:rRNA from 1 species
CAAGGAAUUUUCCGCAAUGGGCGCAAGCCUGACGGAGCAACGCCGCGUGCAGGAGGAAGGCUUUCGGGUUGUAAACUGCUUUUGUUGGGGACGAAACGGACGGUACCCAACGAAUAAGCCCCGGCUAACUCCGUGCCAGCAGCCGCGGUAAUACGGAGGGGGCAAGCGUUGUCCGGACUUACUGGGCGUAAAGCGCACGUAGGCGGUCUGGAGCGUCGGUACUGAAAGUGCCCGGCUUAACCGGGCAAGGCGUAGCGAUACGACCAGGCUUGAGGCAGUAAGAGGUUGGCGGAAUUCCGGGUGUAGUGGUGAAAUGCGUAGAUAUCCGGAGGAACGCCUGUGGCGAAAGCGGCCAACUGGUGCUGACCUGACGCUGAGGUGCGAAAGCGUGGGGAGCGAACC